rnacentral:tRNA from 1 species
GAGGCCGUUUUGUAUCCAUGAAAAGCGGCUCAUAACCGCUUGGUUGGGGGUUCGAGUCCCUCCGGGCCCACCA